UACUAAUCUGCGAUAAGCGCCGGUAAGGUGAUAUGAACCGUUAUAACCGGCGAUACCCGAAUGGGGAAACCCAGUGUGAUUCGUCACACUAUCAUUAACUGAAUCCAUAGGUUAAUGAGGCGAACCGGGGGAACUGAAACAUCUAAGUACCCCGAGGAAAAGAAAUCAACCGAGAUUCCCCCAGUAGCGGCGAGCGAACGGGGAGGAGCCCAGAGCCUGAAUCAGCAUGUGUGUUAGUGGAAGCGUCUGGAAAGGCGCGCGAUACAGGGUGACAGCCCCGUACACAAAAGCGCAUGUGCUGUGAGCUCGAUGAGUAGGGCGGGACACGUGGUAUCCUGUCUGAAUAUGGGGGGACCAUCCUCCAAGGCUAAAUACUCCUGACUGACCGAUAGUGAACCAGUACCGUGAGGGAAAGGCGAAAAGAACCCCGGCGAGGGGAGUGAAAAAGAACCUGAAACCGUGUACGUACAAGCAGUGGGAGCACAGGUUUACCUGUGUGACUGCGUACCUUUUGUAUAAUGGGUCAGCGACUUAUAUUCUGUAGCAAGGUUAACCGAAUAGGGGAGCCGGAGGGAAACCGAGUCUUAAUUGGGCGUUAAGUUGCAGGGUAUAGACCCGAAACCCGGUGAUCUAGCCAUGGGCAGGUUGAAGGUUGGGUAACACUAACUGGAGGACCGAACCGACUAAUGUUGAAAAAUUAGCGGAUGACCUGUGGCUGGGGGUGAAAGGCCAAUCAAACCGGGAGAUAGCUGGUUCUCCCCGAAAGCUAUUUAGGUAGCGCCUCGUGAAUUCAUCUCCGGGGGUAGAGCACUGUUUCGGCUAGGGGGCCAUCCCGGCUUACCAACCCGAUGCAAACUGCGAAUACCGGAGAAUGUUAUCACGGGAGACACACGGCGGGUGCUAACGUCCGUCGUGAAGAGGGAAACAACCCAGACCGCCAGCUAAGGUCCCAAAGUCAUGGUUAAGUGGGAAACGAUGUGGGAAGGCCCAGACAGCCAGGAUGUUGGCUUAGAAGCAGCCAUCAUUUAAAGAAAGCGUAAUAGCUCACUGGUCGAGUCGGCCUGCGCGGAAGAUGUAACGGGGCUAAACCAUGCACCGAAGCUGCGGCAGCGACACUGUGUGUUGUUGGGUAGGGGAGCGUUCUGUAAGCCUGUGAAGGUGUGUCGUGAGGCAUGCUGGAGGUAUCAGAAGUGCGAAUGCUGACAUAAGUAACGAUAAAGCGGGUGAAAAGCCCGCUCGCCGGAAGACCAAGGGUUCCUGUCCAACGUUAAUCGGGGCAGGGUGAGUCGACCCCUAAGGCGAGGCCGAAAGGCGUAGUCGAUGGGAAACGGGUUAAUAUUCCCGUACUUGGUGUUACUGCGAAGGGGGGACGGAGAAGGCUAUGUUGGCCGGGCGACGGUUGUCCCGGUUUAAGCGUGUAGGUGUGUGUUCCAGGUAAAUCCGGUUCACUUUAACACUGAGGCGUGACGACGAGGCACUACGGUGCUGAAGCAACAAAUGCCCUGCUUCCAGGAAAAGCCUCUAAGCAUCAGGUAACAUCAAAUCGUACCCCAAACCGACACAGGUGGUCAGGUAGAGAAUACCAAGGCGCUUGAGAGAACUCGGGUGAAGGAACUAGGCAAAAUGGUGCCGUAACUUCGGGAGAAGGCACGCUGACACGUAGGUGAAGUGAUUUACUCAUGGAGCUGAAGUCAGUCGAAGAUACCAGCUGGCUGCAACUGUUUAUUAAAAACACAGCACUGUGCAAACACGAAAGUGGACGUAUACGGUGUGACGCCUGCCCGGUGCCGGAAGGUUAAUUGAUGGGGUCAGCGCAAGCGAAGCUCCUGAUCGAAGCCCCGGUAAACGGCGGCCGUAACUAUAACGGUCCUAAGGUAGCGAAAUUCCUUGUCGGGUAAGUUCCGACCUGCACGAAUGGCGUAAUGAUGGCCAGGCUGUCUCCACCCGAGACUCAGUGAAAUUGAACUCGCUGUGAAGAUGCAGUGUACCCGCGGCAAGACGGAAAGACCCCGUGAACCUUUACUAUAGCUUGACACUGAACAUUGAGCCUUGAUGUGUAGGAUAGGUGGGAGGCUUUGAAGUGUGGACGCCAGUCUGCAUGGAGCCGACCUUGAAAUACCACCCUUUAAUGUUUGAUGUUCUAACGUGGACCCGUUACCCGGGUUGCGGACAGUGUCUGGUGGGUAGUUUGACUGGGGCGGUCUCCUCCUAAAGAGUAACGGAGGAGCACGAAGGUUGGCUAAUCCUGGUCGGACAUCAGGAGGUUAGUGCAAUGGCAUAAGCCAGCUUGACUGCGAGCGUGACGGCGCGAGCAGGUGCGAAAGCAGGUCAUAGUGAUCCGGUGGUUCUGAAUGGAAGGGCCAUCGCUCAACGGAUAAAAGGUACUCCGGGGAUAACAGGCUGAUACCGCCCAAGAGUUCAUAUCGACGGCGGUGUUUGGCACCUCGAUGUCGGCUCAUCACAUCCUGGGGCUGAAGUAGGUCCCAAGGGUAUGGCUGUUCGCCAUUUAAAGUGGUACGCGAGCUGGGUUUAGAACGUCGUGAGACAGUUCGGUCCCUAUCUGCCGUGGGCGCUGGAGAACUGAGGGGGGCUGCUCCUAGUACGAGAGGACCGGAGUGGACGCAUCACUGGUGUUCGGGUUGUCAUGCCAAUGGCACUGCCCGGUAGCUAAAUGCGGAAGAGAUAAGUGCUGAAAGCAUCUAAGCACGAAACUUGCCCCGAG
rnacentral:rRNA from 1 species